AACGAACGCUGGCGGCAUGCCUAACACAUGCAAGUCGAACGAGACCUUCGGGUCUAGUGGCGCACGGGUGCGUCACGCGUGGGAACCUGCCCUUAGGUUCGGAAUACCUCUCCGAAAGGGGUGCUAAUACCGGAUAAUGUCUUCGGACCAAAGAUUUAUCGCCCUUGGAUGGGCCCGCGUUGGAUUAGCUCGUUGGUAGGGUAAAAGCCUACCACGGCGACGAUCCAUAGCUGGUCUGAGAGGAUGAUCAGCGACACUGGGACUGAGACACGGCCCAGACUCCUACGCGAGGCAGCAGUGGGGAAUAGUGGACAAUGGGCGAAAGCCUGAACCAGCAAUGCCGCGUGAGUGAUGAAGGCCUUAGGGUUGUAAAGCUCUUUUACCCGGGAUGAUAAUGACAGUACCGGGAGAAUAAGCUCCGGCUAACUCCGUG
rnacentral:rRNA from 1 species